GACGAACGCUGGCGGCGUGCCUAAUACAUGCAAGUCGAGCGGACGGAUGGGAGCUUGCUCCCAGACCGUCAGCGGCGGACGGGUGAGUAACACGUGGGCAACCUGCCUGUAAGACUGGGAUAACUCCGGGAAACCGGGGCUAAUACCGGAUAACUCUUUCCCUCACAUGAGGGAAAGCUGAAAGAUGGCAUCUCGCUAUCACUUACAGAUGGGCCCGCGGCGCAUUAGCUAGUUGGUGAGGUAACGGCUCACCAAGGCGACGAUGCGUAGCCGACCUGAGAGGGUGAUCGGCCACACUGGGACUGAGACACGGCCCAGACUCCUACGGGAGGCAGCAGUAGGGAAUCUUCCGCAAUGGACGAAAGUCUGACGGAGCAACGCCGCGUGAGUGAUGAAGGUUUUCGGAUCGUAAAACUCUGUUGUCAGGGAAGAACAAGUACCGGAGUAACUGCCGGUACCCUGACGGUACCUGACCAGAAAGCCACGGCUAACUACGUG
rnacentral:rRNA from 1 species